AUUGAACGCUGGCGGCAUGCCUUACACAUGCAAGUCGAACGGUAACAGGUCUUCGGAUGCUGACGAGUGGCGAACGGGUGAGUAAUGCAUCGGAACGUGCCCAGUAGGGGGGGAUAGCCCGGCGAAAGCCGGAUUAAUACCGCAUACGACCUGAGGGUGAAAGGGGGGGAUCGCAAGACCUCUCGCUAUUGGAGCAGCCGAUGUCAGAUUAGCUCGUUGGUGGGGUAAAGGCCUACCCAGGCAACGAUCUGUAGUUGGUCUGAGAGGACGACCGGCCACACGGGGACUGAGACACGGCCCAGACUCCUACGGGAGGCAGCAGUGGGGAAUUUUGGACAAUGGGCGCAAGCCUGAUCCAGCAAUGCCGCGUGCAGGAAGAAGGCCUUCGGGUUGUAAACUGCUUUUGUCAGGGAAGAAAUCUUCUGGGUUAAUACCUCGGGAGGAUGACGGUACCUGAAGAAUAAGCACCGGCUAACUACGUGCCAGCAGCCGCCGUAAAAC
rnacentral:rRNA from 1 species